rnacentral:rRNA from 1 species
GUAUGCUACAUAUCCUGAAUUCUCCCCAUCUCAUCUGCUCUUGGAAGAUAAACAUGGUCAGGUCUGGUUAGCAGUUGGAUAGGAGCAUGCC